rnacentral:rRNA from 1 species
CGCCUUGCCAGCCCGCUCAGAACUCAAAGGAAUUGAGGGGGCCCGCACAAGCGGUGGAGCAUGUGGUUUAAUUCGAUGAUACGCGAGGAACCUUACCUGGGCUCAAAUGUAUGUUGACGUAUUCUGAAAGGGAUACUUCUUCGGACAAUAUACAAGGUGCUGCAUGGUUGUCGUCAGCUCGUGCCGUGAGGUGUCGGGUUAAGUCCCAUAACGAGCGCAACCCCUAUCAUUAGUUGCCAUCAGGUCAAGCUGGGGACUCUAAUGAAACUGCCUACGCAAGUAGUGAGGAAGGUGGGGAUGACGUCAAAUCAGCACGGCCCUUACGUCCAGGGCUACACACGUGCUACAAUGGUCGGUACAAAGGGUUGCCAAGCCGCGAGGUGGAGCUAAUCCCAUAAAACCGAUCGUAGUCCGGAUCGCAGUCUGCAACUCGACUGCGUGAAGUCGGAAUCGCUAGUAAUCGUGAAUCAGAAUGUCACGGUGAAUACGUUCCCGGGCCUU